AGAGUUUGAUUCUGGCUCAGAACGAACGCUGGCGGCGUGGAUAAGACAUGCAAGUCGAACGAGAGAAUUGCUAGCUUGCUAAUAAUUCUCUAGUGGCGCACGGGUGAGUAACACGUGAGUAACCUGCCCCCGAGAGCGGGAUAGCCCUGGGAAACUGGGAUUAAUACCGCAUAGUAUCGAAAGAUUAAAGCAGCAAUGCGCUUGGGGAUGGGCUCGCGGCCUAUUAGUUAGUUGGUGAGGUAACGGCUCACCAAGGCGAUGACGGGUAGCCGGUCUGAGAGGAUGUCCGGCCACACUGGAACUGAGACACGGUCCAGACACCUACGGGUGGCAGCAGUCGAGAAUCAUUCACAAUGGGGGAAACCCUGAUGGUGCGACGCCGCGUGGGGGAAUGAAGGUCUUCGGAUUGUAAACCCCUGUCAUGUGGGAGCAAAUUAAAAAGAUAGUACCACAAGAGGAAGAGACGGCUAACUCUGUGCCAGCAGCCGCGGUAAUACAGAGGUCUCAAGCGUUGUUCGGAAUCACUGGGCGUAAAGCGUGCGUAGGCUGUUUCGUAAGUCGUGUGUGAAAGGCGCGGGCUCAACCCGCGGACGGCACAUGAUACUGCGAGACUAGAGUAAUGGAGGGGGAACCGGAAUUCUCGGUGUAGCAGUGAAAUGCGUAGAUAUCGAGAGGAACACUCGUGGCGAAGGCGGGUUCCUGGACAUUAACUGACGCUGAGGCACGAAGGCCAGGGGAGCGAAAGGGAUUAGAUACCCCUGUAGUCCUGGCAGUAAACGGUGCACGCUUGGUGUGCGGGGAAUCGACCCCCUGCGUGCCGGAGCUAACGCGUUAAGCGUGCCGCCUGGGGAGUACGGUCGCAAGAUUAAAACUCAAAGAAAUUGACGGGGACCCGCACAAGCGGUGGAGUAUGUGGCUUAAUUCGAUGCAACGCGAAGAACCUUACCUGGGCUUGACAUGUAAUGAACAACAUGUGAAAGCAUGCGACUCUUCGGAGGCGUUACACAGGUGCUGCAUGGCCGUCGUCAGCUCGUGUCGUGAGAUGUUUGGUUAAGUCCAGCAACGAGCGCAACCCCUGUUGCCAGUUACCAGCACGUGAAGGUGGGGACUCUGGCGAGACUGCCCAGAUCAACUGGGAGGAAGGUGGGGACGACGUCAGGUCAGUAUGGCCCUUAUGCCCAGGGCUGCACACGUACUACAAUGCCCAGUACAGAGGGGGCCGAAGCCGCGAGGCGGAGGAAAUCCUGAAAACUGGGCCCAGUUCGGACUGUAGGCUGCAACCCGCCUACACGAAGCCGGAAUCGCUAGUAAUGGCGCAUCAGCUACGGCGCCGUGAAUACGUUCCCGGGUCUUGUACACACCGCCCGUCACAUCAUGGAAGCCGGUCGCACCCGAAGUAUCUGAAGCCAACCGCAAGGAGGCAGGGUCCUAAGGUGAGACUGGUAACUGGGAUGAAGUCGUAACAAGGUAGCCGUAGGGGAACCUGCGGC
rnacentral:rRNA from 3 species